rnacentral:tRNA from 2 species
GCCGCGGUGGUGGAAUUGGUAGACACGCUAGCCUUAGGAGCUAGUCUCCUCUUGGAGGUGCGAGUUCGAGUCUCGCCCGCGGCA